GGAGAGGAGAGCUCAGCGGCAGAGCAGGUGCUCAGCAUGCACAAGGUCCUGGGUUCAAUCCCCAGUAUCUCCA
rnacentral:tRNA from 1 species